rnacentral:rRNA from 1 species
GCUAUUUAGGUUAGAGUUUGAUCAUGGCUCAGGACGAACGCUGGCGGCGCGCUUAACACAUGCAAGUCGAGCGAGAACCAGGGCUUCGGCCCUGGGGACAGCGGCGAACGGGUGAGUAACACGUGGGUAAUCAACCCUUGACACCGGGAUAGCCCGGGGAAACCCGGAUUAAUACCGGAUGCUCCGUCUGGCCCUCGGGCCGGCCGGAAAAGGUAGCUUCGGCCUCCGGUCAGGGACGAGCCCGCGGCGGAUUAGCUUGUUGGCGGGGUAACGGCCCACCAAGGCGACGAUCCGUAGCUGGUCUGAGAGGACGAUCAGCCACACUGGGACUGAGGCACGGCCCAGACUCCUACGGGAGGCAGCAGUGGGGAAUAUUGGACAAUGGGCGCAAGCCUGAUCCAGCCAUGCCGCGUGAGUGAUGAAGGCCCUAGGGUUGUAAAGCUCUUUUGUGCGGGAAGAUAAUGACGGUACCGCAAGAAUAAGCCCCGGCUAACUUCGUGCCAGCAGCCGCGGUAAUGUCGGGCCC